rnacentral:misc_RNA from 1 species
AACUGAUACUACCUGCGGGAACCUGCGGAAGGAUCAUUAUCAAUUUACAGCGGACUUCGGUCCUGUCUGCACCCUUGUCUUUUGCGUACUAUAUGUUUCCUCGGUGGGCUUGCCUGCCGAUAGGACACUUAUAAACUCUUUUGUAAUUGCAAUCAGCGUCAGAAAACUAUAAUAGUUACAACUUUCAGCAACGGAUCUCU